rnacentral:rRNA from 1 species
GAUGAACGCUGGCGGCGUGCCUAAUACAUGCAAGUCGAGCGAACAGAUAAGGAGCUUGCUCCUUUGACGUUAGCGGCGGACGGGUGAGUAACACGUGGAUACCCUACCUAUAAGACUGGGAUAACUUCGGGAAACCGGAGCUAAUACCGGAUAACAUAUUGAACCGCAUGGUUCAAUAGUGAAAGGCGGCUUUGCUGUCACUUAUAGAUGGAUCCGCGCCGUAUUAGCUAGUUGGUAAGGUAACGGCUUACCAAGGCAACGAUACGUAGCCGACCUGAGAGGGUGAUCGGCCACACUGGAACUGAGACACGGUCCAGACUCCUACGGGAGGCAGCAGUAGGGAAUCUUCCGCAAUGGGCGAAAGCCUGACGGAGCAACGCCGCGUGAGUGAUGAAGGUCUUCGGAUCGUAAAACUCUGUUAUCAGGGAAGAACAAAUGUGUAAGUAACUGUGCACAUCUUGACGGUACCUGAUCAGAAAGCCACGGCUAACUACGUG